UGGCAGGUCAGCAGAGAGGGAGUCUCCUUGCCUCAUCCUAGCUGCAGCUCGCUGAGUCCUCCUCUUCCUCCUGGAGAUGCCAUCCUUUCCAGAAACUCCUGGACAUGGCCAGAGGAGAGUGGAUUCCCAGGUGAUGAACAGGGCAGACAGAAGGAAAAACUGAAGAGCCAGACCCAGGAAGAAAACAGCACAACAAACAUGAGUGGGUGACUCCUGAGGAGAGCAGUAUCAAAACCACAGCCAAACAGGAGCAUUGUAGAUCUGGGAGCGUGAACGUCCAAGGAAGAUGUGCAGAACAAGGUGCCGUACUUCAACAGCACCUGUCAGUCUACCCCUGAAGAUAAAGUGACGGCUGCUAUGUGAUCCACCUGCAAACGCGGCUCUGCAGGAUCCCAUUGGUGUCCCAAAGUGCUGGCAGUGAGCCAGCACUUAAGAGCCCAGUUGGCACCAUACCACCUUUAUUCCCAGAAAUUCGUGAGCAUCUGUACUCUUCCUGGUUUAUGUACUGAGCAUGACGUCACAUGGUAUGGAACACCCCUUUGGUCAGUUGGGUUCAGGCUGUGUCCCCUCACAACUUCUUAUGCACCCUAGCCUGGUCGCUGUUGGAGUGCCGUAAGGAGCAGAAAACGCCUUGAGUCUCUGUAUUUCCUGACAAUGAAUUUGGGAGCCUUUGUUCUACAGAAAGUCAAAUAUCUACUGUAUGCCUUCAGAGAUCUACAUGCACAGGCUCUGUAAAAGAAAGAGUACACAGAAUUUCUCAGGGCAUGUCAGCUUUUAUGAGACCGAGCAUCUCUUCAGUAACAAGAGAAGCAAAUGGAACAAGACAUGGCAGGAGUAUAUACUUGUCAAGUGGAGGAAAUAGCACAAGUGCCUGCCACAAAGCCACCUCAGCCCCACGACCGCCUGUAUGGCUGGAAGAGACAACAGCUUAAACCAAUAGUGCUUAAAGCGGUGAUGCACAGGAAAGACUCAAUAAAUCUUUGGAGCAGCACAAGGUCUAAGAAAAAUUUUCUUUGCUUUUGUUUGGUCUUGGCUCACUUUGCC